CGCACGGAUGGCGCCGGGAGCUGCAGAGGUUCUGACACUUAUUCAUGGAGGCAUGCCCUUCCUGCCUUGGGGCCUCAGUUUCCCUGUUCUAGAAGGAGACAGAACAUUAAUUCAACAAAUAUUUAUUGAGCACCUACUAUAAGCCAGCCCCUGUUUUAAGCAGCAGUGGAGAUACAACAGUGAACAAGACCGACAAUGUCUCUACCCUCAGAUCUUACAUUGGGGUGGUGGAGACAGACAGUAAAUGAAGAAACAGAAAUGGGAUCAUACUAUAUAGGUCUGGUACCAGACCAGCAGCUUGGACAUGACCUGGAGUUUGUCAGAAAUGUAGAAUCUCUUGGGGCACCUGGGUGGCUCAGUCGGUUAAGCUUUGGG